CUUGACGAACGCUGGCGGCGUGCUUAACACAUGCAAGUCGAACGGAAAGGCCCUGCUUUUGUGGGGUGCUCGAGUGGCGAACGGGUGAGUAACACGUGAGUAACCUGCCCUUGACUUUGGGAUAACUUCAGGAAACUGGGGCUAAUACCGGAUAGGAGCUCCUGCUGCAUGGUGGGGGUUGGAAAGUUUCGGCGGUUGGGGAUGGACUCGCGGCUUAUCAGCUUGUUGGUGGGGUAGUGGCUUACCAAGGCUUUGACGGGUAGCCGGCCUGAGAGGGUGACCGGCCACAUUGGGACUGAGAUACGGCCCAGACUCCUACGGGAGGCAGCAGUGGGGAAUAUUGCACAAUGGGCGGAAGCCUGAUGCAGCAACGCCGCGUGCGGGAUGACGGCCUUCGGGUUGUAAACCGCUUUCGCCUGUGACGAAGCGUGAGUGACGGUAAUGGGUAAAGAAGCACCGGCUAACUACGUGCCAGCAGCCGCGGUGAUACGUAGGGUGCGAGCGUUGUCCGGAUUUAUUGGGCGUAAAGGGCUCGUAGGUGGUUGAUCGCGUCGGAAGUGUAAUCUUGGGGCUUAACCCUGAGCGUGCUUUCGAUACGGGUUGACUUGAGGAAGGUAGGGGAGAAUGGAAUUCCUGGUGGAGCGGUGGAAUGCGCAGAUAUCAGGAGGAACACCAGUGGCGAAGGCGGUUCUCUGGGCCUUUCCUGACGCUGAGGAGCGAAAGCGUGGGGAGCGAACAGGCUUAGAUACCCUGGUAGUCCACGCUGUAAACGGUGGGUACUAGGUGUGGGGUCCAUUCCACGGGUUCCGUGCCGUAGCUAACGCUUUAAGUACCCCGCCUGGGGAGUACGGCCGCAAGGCUAAAACUCAAAGGAAUUGACGGGGCCCCGCACAAGCGGCGGAGCAUGCGGAUUAAUUCGAUGCAACGCGUAGAACCUUACCUGGGUUUGACAUGGAUCGGGAGUGCUCAGAGAUGGGUGUGCCUCUUUUGGGGUCGGUUCACAGGUGGUGCAUGGCUGUCGUCAGCUCGUGUCGUGAGAUGUUGGGUUAAGUCCCGCAACGAGCGCAACCCUUGUUCACUGUUGCCAGCACGUUAUGGUGGGGACUCAGUGGAGACCGCCGGGGUCAACUCGGAGGAAGGUGGGGAUGACGUCAAGUCAUCAUGCCCCUUAUGUCCAGGGCUUCACGCAUGCUACAAUGGCUGGUACAGAGAGUGGCGAGCCUGUGAGGGUGAGCGAAUCUCGGAAAGCCGGUCUCAGUUCGGAUUGGGGUCUGCAACUCGACCUCAUGAAGUCGGAGUCGCUAGUAAUCGCAGAUCAGCAACGCUGCGGUGAAUACGUUCCCGGGGCUUGUACACACCGCCCGUCAAGUCAUGAAAGUUGGUAACACCCGAAGCCGGUGGCCUAACCGUUGUGGGGGAGCCGUCGAAGGUGGGACUGGUGA
rnacentral:rRNA from 1 species